AUUCCAGGAGAGAAUCAGAAGCUUGGAGGUCCAACUGGCCACUCACUUUCAGUUGGGAGCCUGAGGAAAGAGGUGGAUCUCCUAGGCUGGGAAGAAGCCUGUCUCUCUGGAGAUCAACUGUCUCUUUCUGCACCCCUGGAUACCUCUCACUCAACUCUCAAUAACAGCAAUCUAAAGUCACCAGUGGAUUUUGUGGACAGGGACUUUGAAGAGAACCAUCCACAGAUCCCUUCCAAGGAUCUCCCUCUCUAUCUCUCCCUUAUUUGUCCCUGGACUCCUAUAUUCAAGUUAGUUAGCUUAGGAGUAGGGACCAACAGGCAGUUGGCAAGAAGAGGGAUGAAGGCUGAGAAGCCUUGAACCCCUAGACUUUGGACAGCAAAUUUACCAGAUGGGAUGACAUUUCCUUUAUAAGAGUAACCAUCCAAAUCAGAAGUUCAAAUAAUCACUAGUGAUGCAUUUGUCAAAGAAAUGGUGGGCAAAUCACUCUUCUUUGCUGGACCUCAGUUUUCUAACUACUAUGUACAGCAUAUGAAUAAGCAGAAAAUUCCGUCAGUUCAAGAUACUUUAUCACCCAUUCAACACUAUAGCUCAGGUGUACCCACCCAUACUUACUUUAACCAAGACAGUAGCAAAUUAAGUGGCAAUAGAAAUACCCUUCAGCCUCAUAUUCUUUCAUGGAUUGUCAUAUCCCUAGUGAGUGAAUGCACACACUCUCCUGCUCUAGCAUAACUGAUCAAAGAAAAUGCAGAAAGCAGAAUAUAUACAUGAAGAAUAUAUGAUCAGAGCACUCACAUUAUAUUCUUUUGGGGGGGAGGAGAGGUAGGGAUAUGUGCACAGAUAAAUAAAUACAAAUGGCUUGAGGAGGAAGACACAUAAAAUGUGGACAUUACGGAAGACUUUGAAUAGAAUGUAGCAGCUGAGCUGACCCUUAAAGAAAACUCGGGAUUCUAAAAGUCAAAGUGAGAAGUAAGGGCAUUCCAGGAUGGGAGUUGGCCUAUGAAUAGGCACAGAGAAGGGAAAUGAAAUUGGUUUUGGAGUACAAUAAAUAUCUUUUACCUGUGACCAAUUCAAGAAAAAUAAAAGCAUUCUCAAGUGCUAUUAUUGUGGUUUCCCUAUGCCCUUCAUGAGCAACAGCAAUCUUUCUGAAAGUUUUAACAUCACUCUAUUGGGAUUUACACAUGGCUGUUCUGAUCCAAAGGAAUUAAGGCUGACUAGCAUAACAACAUAUUAACCAUCUGUUAUUGUACAACACACCCACUAUAAGCUAUAAUGAUCAGAAAUUACUGUGGUUGCCUAUAAUAUCUUUUUCUUUUCCUCCUGGGAAGAUAAAUAUUUCCACAUCCCUGUC